GAAAGAAGAAAUCUUUUCUAGAUUGUUUCUUCCUGCACCUCCAUAUGUCCUUCUCUCACCUUCAUAAAUUUUCAUAUUUAUAAAAAUAUUCUAAAUUACAUAAUCUGGAAGUUAUUUUCCAAAUUCGUUAUCAACUUCCAUAUUACAUAAUUCAGAAGUCUUUUUUCAGAUGCAUGAUUAGUUUUUGGAUUAUAUAAUCCGAUAGUUUUUUUGGCUUUCAGAUUAUGUAAUCCAGAAGUCUUUUUUCAAAUGUGUGUCCAGAUUACAUAAUUUGAAAGCUACUCUAUGGGAGUGACACAAGAAGGA
rnacentral:lncRNA from 1 species